rnacentral:tRNA from 1 species
GUGAUGGAAUCGGAAGACAUGCUUGUUUUAGAAACAAGUUAUUUAUUUAGUGAAGGUUCAAAUCCUUUCGUUA